UUGACAGGAAAAAACAGAUAAAUAAUAAAAUGCCUUUGGUUAGGAAAAGAGGCAGACAUUAUGCCCAUGUUACAUAUGAAAGAGGUACAGAUGCCCUUAAAGUUUUUGAUGAAGUAAAGAGCAAGAUACUGUCCCAUCUGGCAGCAAUACUGUAUGACACUGUAUGACCAAUUCACAGACAAUUUGACAAAGAAUAACAAUAGAACACCAACAAUUCACAUAUGAGACGAUGUUUUAUGGUGAAUGGUUAUAGUAAUUUAGACAAGCAAAACAUGCAUUAAAGACUGUCAGUGUUGCUUGGAUUUUCUCCAUAUGGUCAUUUAAGAAGAAAAUUGAUAGAGGAAAGAUACAGAUAUGCAAGAAUUUAAUAUUUGAAAUACACUUAAUAUUUCUUUUGUAUAUGACCAUUAAAUUUUGGCAGUCAUUGUUAUCUCUGCUAUACAAACAAAUAUAUCUUGUAAAAUUUAUUCAUAAGAGGAAGCUUUAAUAACAAAUAUCUAACCACAUUAAAUAUUGUUUAUGCCCCAACUACAAUAGUAGAGGGGCAUUAUGUUUUCUGGUCUAUGUGUCCAUUCGUCCGCCCCUUUGUCCGUCUGUCCCUCUCCAGGUUAAAGUUUUUGGUCAAGGUAUUUUUUGAUAAAGUUGAAGUGAAAUCAACUUAGAACACAUAUUCCCUAUGAUAUUAUCUUUCUAACUUUAAUGCCAAAUUAGAUUUUUGAUCCCAUUUCACUGUCCACUGAACAUAAAAUAAUAGUGUGAGUGGGGCAUCCUUGUACUUAAUGGACACAUUCAUGUUUGCCAAUUUUUUAAUUAGUCUAAAACAAAUCUAAUUUUUUUUAUUCUGUGGGAUUCAAAAGAUUUUGUCAUUUGUGAUAAUUAUUUAUUUUGAAGUCUGAGAACAUUUCAUACAAAUUUCAAAUUCUAAAUAAGACAUCUAUACAGCACAUACUCCAUCAUAAAUUGUGUUAAUGAUAAUGUUGACUAUAUAUCAUUUUUAUUAAAGAAAAAAAAUAAUGUAUCGCUUAUUAUGUGCAUUCCUAUGACUAUCCAUACUCUUGACUUACUUAAUAUUCAUGUGUUUACAUUAAUUACAUAUAUUUAAGUAAAACAUUUCAAUGUAUGUCUUCGUAACAAUAUCACACGUAUGAAAUGUUUUUUUGUUUUUUUUUAGCUGUAUAUUCUCUGUGAGGGUUAUUCCAUUAAAAUGUAUCAGGGAGGGAAGUUAAAUUAUUGAACUUGGGUCAUGGGUCUUAAUUAUACCCCUGCUUUCCGUUUAAAAAAAAGGGGGGUAUACUGUUUUACCUCUGUCUGUCAGUCCGUCAGUCCGUCCGUCCUUCUGUCCCAUGAAUAUUUUUCGUCGCAUUUUUCUCAGGAACUACAACACAAGGAUUUCUGAAAUUUAAUUUCAGAAUUUAUAU